UACGAAGGGUGCAAGCGUUAGUCGGAAUUACUGGGCGUAAAGCGUGCGUAGGCGGUUUCUUAAGUCCGUUGUGAAAGUCCUGGGCUCAACCUGGGAACUGCAGUGGAUACUGAGAGGCUAGAGUGUGUCAGAGGAUGGUGGAAUUCCCGGUGUAGCGGUGAAAUGCGUAGAGAUCGGGAGGAACAUCAGUGGCGAAGGCGGCCAUCUGGGACAACACUGACGCUGAGGCACGAAAGCGUGGGGAGCAAACAGG
rnacentral:rRNA from 1 species